CAAAAAAAAAAAAACACACACACACAUACAUAUUGUAUUUUGGUAAAAAAAAAAAUAAUUAUACUGAUAAAAAUAUCAGUUAUAAAAGAAGAGAU
rnacentral:misc_RNA from 1 species